AUGUUACCUAGACCUUCAGGUACAUGUCAUGAAACAUGCAAGCAUCUCAACACGCUGGGCGCCAAGGCCGUGCUGGCCUUCUUGACCACCAUGCCGCUCUCGGAGAUCGCCUUCGCCUUCCUGCUCCUCCCCUACCUUCUCCUGGCCACGCUCGCCUUCCCGCAGCACCCCGCGAAGCCCAACCCGUCCUUCCCCGUCUUCCUCGGCCUCGCGCGCCUCCUCCUCGCCGCGCACACCGUGGGCGGGUUCCUCGUUGGUGCCGCGCUCCCGGCGCUCUAUGUCCUCGACGGCCUCUGGUCCGGGGACACCACGGGGAUCAUUGCCGCAGCCCCGCACGCAUUCCUGCUCUCCGCGCAGGUCUUCAUCGAGGGGCUCACCGCCGCGCUCCCGUGGCGGUUCUCGCUCCCCGUCAGGGCCGCCGUACCGGUCAUGUACAGCACGCGCAGGAUGUUCGUGGCAGGGGAGUGGCUCCGGCAGGAGAUGGAGGGGGUGACUGCGGCGACGGGAAGGGAAGGGGGCGGAGCAGCAUGA
rnacentral:rRNA from 1 species